UAAAAUCUAGAAUUCUAAUAAUAAAGAUGUUUUGUUUCCUUUUACAUAUAUAUUAUAGGCUAUGAAUGACAUGUAAAAAUCUAUACAUUAAGCAUUUCAGAAACUUGAAUGAAACUCUCUGUAUCAUAUCACUCGUGAGGCAGUGAGAGCCAAAGUUGACGUAUAUUAAAUAAAGUCAAUAACUACUUCUCAUCAAAACCUUGUGAAUUCCAGUAAUUAUCCGUUAAUCUUCAAACAUCACCAUAAGAGGUCUUGACAGGCCACUUAGUGUUUAUCUCCAUCUCAGACUGUGAAAGAUAGAUAAAUAGCUAACAUCUAAUCUGGUCUGAGUUUAUUGCCUAAGUUUAUGGCCUACAACUUCAUUUCUUAGAAACCAACUCCUGGAAGUCCUGCCUCUAUGAUACUGCUUUUUAUUCCGC